rnacentral:lncRNA from 1 species
UGUUAGCUUCUUUAGAGAGAAAAUGGAGAGACAAUUCUCACCAAUUUUCCCCCAAAAUAAACCCUUAAUAAUCUUAAUGAAUAUUUGGCUAUAAAGUCAUUUAUAUAGUCACUUCUUUAAGUGACCUAAAUAACCAAAACCCUAAUUCAUCACACUAUGGCCGGCCAUUUAGGGAGUUUUGGGCUUUUGGGCCUUAAUGAAUCUUUAUUCAUUAAAUUGUCAUACAACUUAAGUUAAUGGGCUUGACGUUCGAAGCCCAUUGGGCCUUAAGGUCCAAAACUAUCCUGAAGUCUUUAACGAACUUAUUCGUUUGAUUAAUUAACAUAUUAAUUAAUCCUUGCCAUAAAUAAAUGAUUAAACCAUUUAAUCAUUCUUACUCAUUUCCGUUUAAUCUUCAAUCUCCACCUUUUAUGGUGUGCGAUCCAUUAGGUUCCUUUUAGCGAGGCAGUGGGCGAUUAAAACCAUUUUACAUCGAUUGU